UACGAGAGGCCAACCAGUUAUUCGGAAUUACUGGGCGUAAAGCGCACGUAGGCGGACUGUUAAGUCGGGGUGAAAUCCUGGGGCUCAACCUCAGAAUUGCCUCCGAUACUGGCAGUCUCGAGUGCGGAGAGGUGAGUGGAAUUCCCAGUGUAGAGGUGAAAUUCGUAGAUAUUGGGAAGAACACCAGUGGCGAAGGCGGCUCACUGGCCCGUAACUGACGCUGAGGUGCGAAAGCGUGGGAGCA
rnacentral:rRNA from 1 species